UUUCAUGGAUGAGCAAAGAACUGGUUUCCUGAGAUGGGAUCUACUCCCGGUGAAGAUGCUGUGAA
rnacentral:pre_miRNA from 1 species